rnacentral:misc_RNA from 1 species
CGACCCUCAAGCAUAGCUUGGUGUUGGGCACGGUCCUAGGUAGGGGACCUGCCCGUAACUCGUAGGCGGCCGCCGCCCGCGCCCCCAGCGUAGCAAGCUCACGCGUUCGCUCGGGGACGGCGCGCCUGGCCCGCCAGGCACAACCCAAACCCUUCCCAAG